rnacentral:rRNA from 1 species
UACGUAGGGGGCAAGCGUUGUCCGGAUUUAUUGGGCGUAAAGAGCGUGUAGGCGGCCAAACAGGUCAGCUGUGAAAACUCGAGGCUCAACCUCGAGACGUCGGUUGAAACCGCUUGGCUAGAGUCCGGAAGAGGAGAGUGGAAUUCCCGGUGUAGCGGUGAAAUGCGCAGAUAUCGGGAAGAACACCCGUGGCGAAGGCGGCUCUCUGGGACGGUACUGACGCUGAGACGCGAGAGCGUGGGGAGCGAACAGG